rnacentral:rRNA from 1 species
UACAGAGGGGGCAAGCGUUGUUCGGAAUUACUGGGCGUAAAGGGCGCGUAGGCGGCCUGCUAAGUCGAACGUGAAAUCCCCGGGCUCAACCCGGGAACUGCGUCCGAUACUGGCAGGCUUGAAUCCGGGAGAGGGAUGUGGAAUUCCAGGUGUAGCGGUGAAAUGCGUAGAUAUCUGGAGGAACACCGGUGGCGAAGGCGGCAUCCUGGACCGGCAUUGACGCUGAGGAGCGAAAGCCAGGGGAGCAAACGGG